GAUAGUGAACCAGUACCGUGAGGGAAAGGCGAAAAGAACCCCGGCGAGGGGAGUGAAAAAGAACCUGAAACCGUGUACGUACAAGCAGUGGGAGCCCCACCACUAAGCCAGUGGUGAACUCCACAUACGCAUCCUUUGCUGAGGAUACGGUUAACGGAGCGAAAGCGACGUUCAACCGCAAAAAAAGAAGCAGAGGGGGCUUAGUGGUGGGGUGACUGCGUACCUUUUGUAUAAUGGGUCAGCGACUUAUAUUCUGUAGCAAGGUUAACCGAAUAGGGGAGCCGGAGGGAAACCGAGUCUUAACCGGGCGUUAAGUUGCAGGGUAUAGACCCGAAACCCGGUGAUCUAGCCAUGGGCAGGUUGAAGGUUGGGUAACACUAACUGGAGGACCGAACCGACUAAUGUUGAAAAAUUAGCGGAUGACCUGUGGCUGGGGGUGAAAGGCCAAUCAAACCGGGAGAUAGCUGGUUCUCCCCGAAAGCUAUUUAGGUAGCGCCUCGUGAAUUCAUCUCCGGGGGUAGAGCACUGUUUCGGCUAGGGGGCCAUCCCGGCUUACCAACCCGAUGCAAACUGCGAAUACCGGAGAAUGUUAUCACGGGAGACACACGGCGGGUGCUAACGUCCGUCGUGAAGAGGGAAACAACCCAGACCGCCAGCUAAGGUCCCAAAGUCAUGGUUAAGUGGGAAACGAUGUGGGAAGGCCCAGACAGCCAGGAUGUUGGCUUAGAAGCAGCCAUCAUUUAAAGAAAGCGUAAUAGCUCACUGGUCGAGUCGGCCUGCGCGGAAGAUGUAACGGGGCUAAACCAUG
rnacentral:rRNA from 1 species